GACGACGCUGGCGGCGUGCUUAACACAUGCAAGUCGAACGAGAUACCGGAGCUUGCUCCGGUGGAAAGUGGCGAACGGGUGAGUAACACGUGAGAAAUCUGUCCUAGAGACCGGGACAACCAUCGGAAACGAUGGCUAAUACCGGAUACCCUCACAUGGUCGCAUGGUCGAGUGAGGAAAUGCUCAGGUGCUCUAGGAGGAUCUCGCGGCCUAUCAGCUAGUUGGUGGGGUAACGGCCUACCAAGGCAUCGACGGGUAGCUGGUCUGAGAGGACGAUCAGCCACACUGGGACUGAGACACGGCCCAGACUCCUACGGGAGGCAGCAGUGGGGAAUAUUGCGCAAUGGGCGAAAGCCUGACGCAGCAACGCCGCGUGAGGGAUGACGGCUUUCGGGUUGUAAACCUCUUUCAGUGAUGACGAAAAUGACGGUAGUCACAGAAGAAGCUCCGGCCAACUACGUGCCAGCAGCCGCGGUAACACGUAGGGAGCGAGCGUUGUCCGGAUUUAUUGGGCGUAAAGAGCUCGUAGGCGGUUUCGUAAGUCGGAUGUGAAAACUCAGGGCUCAACCCUGAGACGCCAUCUGAUACUGCGAUGACUAGAGUCCGGUAGAGGAGCAUGGAAUUCCUGGUGUAGCGGUGGAAUGCGCAGAUAUCAGGAGGAACACCAACGGCGAAGGCAGUGCUCUGGGCCGGUACUGACGCUGAGGAGCGAAAGCAUGGGGAGCAAACAGGAUUAGAUACCCUGGUGGUCCAUGCCGUAAACGUUGGGCACUAGGUGUGGGGGUCUUCUAACGGAUUCCGUGCCGUAGCUAACGCAUUAAGUGCCCCGCCUGGGGAGUACGGCCGCAAGGCU
rnacentral:rRNA from 1 species